UUGUGGGGACAUGGGCCAAACUGUAUCCUGUCUGCCCUGAGUCUUUGUACACUUACUCAGUUGGCUUCAGUAAUAAAACCUAACUUGUCCAUUCCCUAUAGAAACACCAGUAAGAUCACGUUGAAAUAUAUAAACUUAUGUAUUGUCGCCCGAGGGAGUCCUCUAAGUAGAGGUUACCACAUGCGUUUACUAUGGACAUUCAGCUUGAGCCAAUUGUGGUUUGAAAUGCAUAUGCAACAGAAGAGGUGGCCCCCGAUGAAGCUGGCCUCUCUGUCGGUCCUAAGAAGCCCGAGGGCCUCUGUGACCAGUCUCAUUUCUGUUGCUCAGUGUGGUACCUCAGAACUGAAAAUGGAGUUCCCUGAGACAGACUGUUUUCCUGAUGGAAGAAGAGCUGGCCUUGUAGAGAAGGCUCAGAGUGGCGGGCUAUGGGGCUGUUCCGUAAGACUUCACUGAGCACUCGCUGGUCUGUGGGUUAUCCGCAGCUGACCCUGCUACAGAAUCUCCCUGGGUGUGCUUAUCUCUGCCAAAUUCAUUCUUGCACCUUGUGUCCUGGGGGAUGAGGCGUCACAUUCUCCCCCAGAGUGAUGCCAGCAGUGGCUAAGUCAUGAUAGGUGUUCGUGGAGGACUGGGUGACAGCUCCUUGCAGGGACAGGGGAAUUGGAUUUCAUGAGUUUCACUACCCAGAGUGUGGAACCAAAACUUGCCCACCCAUCCCGCUUUCCUGCCUAUCUUGAGGAGAGCAAAUCUUCCCUAUAGUUUAUUAUUUCAUAAAGCAGAUGUGAGACUCUGACCAGUUCCCCACUGAAAACAGUGCACGUGAGAGGAAGGAUAGUGAGGCUGGAAAAUUGGCUUCAAGGUGAAAUUAUCUUUUCCAUUGGAAUUAGAAAGGGGAAAGAUUAUUUUAUGAGUUAGAAGAGAAGAGUUUCCCUUGGUAGUCUUUAAAGAUUAAGGGAUUAGAAAAAAAAGGGAGGACUUAUUUUGUAUACUUCCCAGAUUUCCACUGAUUAAUAAAUAUACCUGUGAAUAUAUAUAUGUAGAUCACAAUGAAAUUUUCAAGGGAAACCAUUUUGCAUGUAUACCGUUUUAUGAAGGUUUCCUUAAAUAAAAUAAAUACCAAAGCUUGUUUCUCCCUCACAAUGAACCCAAACCCUUAUGAAGUUAAAUGAGGUGAAGAAAUUUGGCUAUUGCCAAAAACUCAACCAGGAGGGAAGGGCUUAUGUUCAAACAAUUACUGAUGCCCUGUGACUAGGGGAACACGUCCUUUUGGUAGUUAAAACCCCAUGGUCUCCAGCCUUCCUGACUUGUAUAAUCCUGUCUUCCAAGAUCCCAGGGCCCUUCCGUUAGGUGUAGCUGUGUGCCACGUGCCUGACUUUUCUUUUGUACUUUGCUUACUUUGCCUUGGGUAUAUUUUAAUCUUGUAUAAAACAAAAAUGCAUGUGUCGGUCAUGCGCACGUGCACACGUAGACAUUCUGUAUUUGACAAAUGGUGGUAAGACCAAAAAAACAAACAAACAAAAAAAAAAACAAGAAGAGAAUUGCAUUUGUGGUUUUGCAGCGUGAGUACACUUUGUACCACUAACACUGUGAUGUAUAAGAGCUGUCUGAAUGCCUUUUCAUGUUGUGAUUUGUACUCUAGAAUCCUAUGGAAACAUUUGGUUUAUAAUUUCAAUACAUAUUUUAAAUGUAUUGUGUCUUAUGUAGUCUGUCUCCCCUUUCGAAGGGAUAUCUUUUUAAAGGUAUUUUGGCUGGAAUACAGGUGAUUAUUUUG
rnacentral:lncRNA from 1 species